GAUGAACGCGGCGGCGUGCCUAACACAUGCAAGUCGAACGGAGAUUUAACGCUGAUGAAGCUUCGGCAGAUUCUUGUUAAAUCUUAGUGGCGGACGGGUGAGUAACGCGUGGGCAACCUGCCUCAUACUGGGGGAUAACAGCUGGAAACGACUGUUAAUACCGCAUAAGCGCACAGCAUCGCAUGAUGCAGUGUGAAAAACUCCGGUGGUAUGAGAUGGGCCCGCGUCAGAUUAGCCAGUUGGCAGGGUAACGGCCUACCAAAGCGACGAUCUGUAGCCGGCCUGAGAGGGCGGACGGCCACAUUGGGACUGAGACACGGCCCAAACUCCUACGGGAGGCAGCAGUGGGGGAUAUUGCACAAUGGAGGAAACUCUGAUGCAGCGACGCCGCGUGAGUGAAGAAGUAUUUCGGUAUGUAAAGCUCUAUCAGCAGGGAAGAAAGACUCGUAAGAGAGAUGACGGUAC
rnacentral:rRNA from 1 species